rnacentral:tRNA from 1 species
UCAUCGGUUGUUCAGUGGUAGAAUGCUCGCCUGCCACGCGGGGGGCCCGGGUUCGAUUCCCGGCCAAUGCA